rnacentral:rRNA from 1 species
CCUACGGGAGGCAGCAGUGGGGAAUAUUGCACAAUGGGGGAAACCCUGAUGCAGCGACGCCGCGUGAGUGAAGGAGUAUCUCGGUACGUAAAGCUCUAUCAGCAGGGAAGAAAAUGACGGUACCUGACUAAGAAGCCCCGGCUAACUACGUGCCAGCAGCCGCGGUAAUACGUAGGGGGCAAGCGUUAUCCGGCUUGACUGGGUGUAAAGGGAGCGUAGACGGCAGCACAAGUCUGGAGUGAAAUCCCGGGGCUUAACCCCGGGACUGCUUUGGAAACUGUGCGGCUGGAGUGCAGGAGGGGUAAGCGGAAUUCCGAGUGUAGGGGUGAAAUGCGUAGAUAUUAGGAGGAACACCGGUGGCGAAGGCGGCUUACUGGACUGUAACUGACGUUGAGGCUCGAAAGCGUGGGGAGCAAACAGGAUUAGAUACCCGAGUAGUC